rnacentral:lncRNA from 1 species
UCACUUUAUUGCAAAUAUCCCAGCAUGAACACACAAAUAUCCCCAGUGUAUCUAUCAGACGGGGAGAAGAGUGAACCCUUCAUCACCUCGAUCGGCAUCCAUUUCCAUUGAUCAGGACUUUCUUUUAAAGACGCAGGCAUUCAGCUUACCGAUCCUUCUGUAAUUCAGAGUAAAACUUAUCCAUCAGAGAGAGCAGUCCCUUUAUUUUAUUCCUGCAGAUAGAGGAGAAUAAAGAUGCGGCAUACCCAUACAUCCGAUAUAUGCAGGCAACAUCCACGCGCCUAUAAAUACCGACCCCUGCAUCCUCAAAGACCUCAUCCCCUCCUCAAGCGAUCAGCUAGCACUUGGCUUCAACACAGCUAGAACACACCAAUUACAACACGGGAGAGGAGAAGCAAGAAGGUGAAUCUAUCAAGCAAUGGAGUACGACUACCAGUACAGCAGCAGCAGCAGCCUCGCCAAGGAGAAGAGGCCUCCGGCCAAGAGGGGCCAGGUCAAGCUGCAGAUAGCGAGGGCGCUGAGCAACCUCGUGGCGCCGAGCAGCGGCGCCGCCGACUCGAAGCAAACAAAUCUCAGCAGCUUCAGAAGGGAAACAAGCUACAACUGAACUCAUCGAUCGUGUCUUUAGAUGGUGUGUGUGUGUGGAACAAGUUAAAGUGAUGUUUACUACUAGCUGUUUGUUUCUCUUUUGAGGAUUUUAGCAAGAUGCAUGGCUUUUCGGUCCAUAUAAGCACCUGCUUGAUCCACUAUGUUGUAACUUGGCCGGAGUGGGAAUUUGGAAGCUUUGUACUAUACGUAUCAAUUUCAGAAAGGGAACGAAGUUCCAUAUGAUAUCUUACUGUUUGUUCAUGCAUCCAAGACUUCUCGAUUAGGGUGUGCUUGAGUGUUGGUUCAUAUUUCAGUUACCCCUAUUAGGUUGUUGGAUAAAGAAAAGGGCAAAUAUCAUGUUAAAAAUACUCCAUUUCUGGUGGUUUAAAUAUUCUCGGUUCAUGUAAUAAAUCAGUUCGAUAAAUUUCCAACAAAAAAGUUUUUUUAAGGGGAGAAACGUCCUGGUCUCUGCAUCAAUCGAUACAAACAGCUAAAUAAAUGAAGAUAUUUCUUAACCCAUAUCAUGUAUUCAAAGUUAUCAAGCUCUUUUCUCUUUGUUGGGAUAAACGAAAAAGGAAACCCAAGGAUGAAAACCAAAAGAGAAAACGGCCAAGUUGUUCCGACAGAUUUCUAUUUUUCCAUUUCCUCUGAUGCAAGUAUAAAACUGUUUUCUAGAAAAAUGUAAAUCAUUUUCUUCUAAGAUGUAGUACUACUGUUUCAUAACUAACUCCACACUUACAAUGUUAAACUAACGCUUAAACCACGAAGCCUUUGAGUUGUUGUGUUGGUCGAAGGGGAUAUAUUCACAUUGCAGAGAUCAAAGCUCUCAAGUGUGCAAGUCAGAAUCUUUUCAGUGGAAAGAAAAAGGUGCAUCUUUCUAGGACUUAUUUUUGUCAC